AACGAACGCUGGCGGCGUGGCUAAGACAUGCAAGUCGAACGAACUGGUCAAUUUAUUGAGCAGUUAGUGGCGAAAGGGUGAGUAAUGGAUAGGUAACGUGCCCUGGGCUUUGGGAUAGCGCCGUUCGCCUUCGGGCGAACUACCGAAAGGGGCAGUAAUACCAAAAAUGUUAUUUGUCGAUGGACUUAUGACCAAAGAUUUAUCGGCGCAGGAGCGGCCUAUCUCUUAUCAGCUUGUUGGUGAGGUAACGGCUCACCAAGGCUAUGACGGGUAGCGGGGCUGAGAGGUUGACCCGCCACAUCGGGACUGAGACACUGCCCGGACCUCCACGGAGGGCUGCAGUAACGAAUAUUGCGCAAUGGGCGAAAGCCUGACGCAGCGACGCCGCGUGCGGGAUGAAGUCUCUCGGGAUGUAAACCGCUGUCAGGGGUAAGAAAGUCCCGACUCGUCGGGAUUGAUCUAACCCACAGGAAGUCACGGCUAACUUCGUGCCAGCAGCCGCGGUAAGACGAAGGUGGCGAGCGUUGUUCGGUAUCACUGGGCUUAAAGAGUGUGUAGGCGGAAAAGUAAGCGUCGCGUGAAAGCCCCCGGCUCAACCGGGGAACUGCUCGACGAACUGCUUUUCUUGAGGCAAGUAGGGGUGCACGGAACUCUUGGUGGAGCGGUGGAAUGCGUAGAUAUCAAGAGGAACGCCAGUGGUGAAAACGGUGCACUGGGCUUGUGCUGACGCUGAGACACGAAAGCGUGGGGAGCGAACGGGAUUAGAUACCCCGGUAGUCCACGCCGUAAACGAUGUCUACUAGGUUGUGGAAGUUCUGACGCUUGCACGGCCGAAGCAAAAGUGUUAAGUAGACCGCCUGGGGAGACGGUCGCAAGGCU
rnacentral:rRNA from 1 species